UGUGAGAUCCCUGGUGUUUGACUGUGGAGACUUGUCGACAGCUCUGGAGAGUGUCGGGACAAGUCCGAGUCGCGUUGGCGUCAAAUGGACGCAAAACGGGCUCCGUGCGACGCGAGGGCAACUUUCAGCGAAGAAAAUCUGCAAACUGCAGUUUUUCUGCUUGCUGUACCGGUACAGCCAUCAAGGUGUACCGGUACACUGCACUGGACCGCGCGUGGGUUGCUCUCGGGUUGGCUCCUGUACCGGUACGCGAUCCCGUGUACCGGUACACCAGAGUAGGUGAGGGGCUUUUUGGUAUUUUUACAUUGCCUCGUUUGUAUCUCCCCUCACUCCCCUCUAUAUAGUUUCGUGUAGGGAGAGAGAGAGAGACUUUUUGCUGCCAUUCUCCAUCUCUCUCUCACUCUUCCAUCCGGUUGAAGGCAAGGUGGAACUCGGGUGGAGUUUUGUCGCCGACGUCGCGCCGCGAAGCCGCUAGAGCUUGUGUUGACGCCGGGGCUUUGCGAGGAGGCCGGGCGAGCGGAGGUUUUCGCCGUCCUUGCUGUCACACAGGUACUUGGUGUUGUCGAGGUGAGUAUUCAGCAUUUCUUUGGAUUUUUGGGCAAAUUCUUACGACUUCAACUCGAGGAGAUGUUGUUUGCUGAAUUUCACCGUCGACUGUUUGUAUUUUGGUUCGUUC
rnacentral:lncRNA from 1 species